rnacentral:lncRNA from 1 species
AGGAUUUUUACAUAGAAAACCAAGUUCAUCUUGGACAGUGUGGGUGGCUCUUCUGGUGUAUAAUAAUUCUAAGCUCUUAGAAUUUUGUGAGCUGAUAGAAACUGUGUUGUUACAUGAAAGAAUGGUAUAAUUUUUUUAAAAAUGAGAGUCUCAGCUAAAAGUACUGAAAAUGAUGCUUUCUCUGAGAGAGGAAAUGCAGAGUGUGCUAGGCUGUUGAAAGAGGAAAGAUCAUUCUUGGCCUUUGCAAGAAGUUAACUUCUGAAAGUAAUACUUAGCGCCAUUCACCUUUCAGCUGAAUUUGAGGCUCAGUGUGAGCUAAACCUCUGGAUUUCUUUAUUUCUACUUGAUCUGUUUGGAAUCAGCAGCUUGUUGCACAUUUAAAAUUCUCCCCAAUAAUCUGCAUAUAUUACAUCUGUCUGCUGAAGCAUCAAUGUUUGGGGCCAGUUUCACGGUAGAUU